GAUGAACGCUGGCGGCGUGCUUAACACAUGCAAGUCGAACGAAGCAAUCAGACGAAAGUUUUCGGAUGGAAGACUGAUUGACUGAGUGGCGGACGGGUGAGUAACGCGUGGGUAACCUGCCUCAUACAGGGGAAUAACAGUUAGAAAUGACUGCUAAUACCGCAUAAGCGCACAGUAUCGCAUGAUACAGUGUGAAAAACUCCGGUGGUAUGAGAUGGACCCGCGUCUGAUUAGCUAGUUGGUAAGGUAACGGCUUACCAAGGCGACGAUCAGUAGCCGACCUGAGAGGGUGACCGGCCACAUUGGGACUGAGACACGGCCCAAACUCCUACGGGAGGCAGCAGUGGGGAAUAUUGCACAAUGGGGGAAACCCUGAUGCAGCGACGCCGCGUGAAGG
rnacentral:rRNA from 1 species